ensembl:rRNA 5S_rRNA 5S ribosomal RNA
GUCUAUGGCCAUAGCACCCUGAAUGCACCCAAUCUCAUCUGAUCGCAGAAGCUAAGCAGGGUUGGUCCUGGUUAGUAAUUAGAUGGGAGAGUGUAUCAAAGACA